rnacentral:lncRNA from 1 species
CAAGUAGAUUAGCUGCUCUUCGGGUUGUUCUCCAGGCCUAGAAACAUGCCCCCGUUAGAGGGGAGGACAGCCUGGAGGGACCCCUCUCCAGCGGGGUUUUUAGUAUGCUGAGCCGAGGGGAUAAAAGAGGCUGUUGGGAAAUGAAAACCAGCAAACCAGGAGUGGCAGCACCUUUCAGGGCUGGGACCUGCUGACCCCGGAGCCGAAGACUGGAGCUGAGCUAAUUAAAUAGAAAAUAAACAGGCCUGAAGUUCCACUUGCCGGGACGGGCCGGUUGCAUUCACGGAGAAAGCUGGGCUCGCUCCGUGUCGCGCACCCAGGAACGGCACCAGGCAAGAGGAGAGCCCGGGGGGUGUCCCCGCGGCGGGGCGCCCACGUCGUGGUCACAGCAGGGCUGGCUCAGACCCCGAGGUUCAUUCUCGGAUUCCCCGUGAGCGCUCUGCGUGGCUAAGGGCUGCCUUCUCGCGUUGUUUUACGGCGUUUAUACGCUCUCGGCAUAUGCUCGUUUAUUCGGUGUGGGUGUAAAGUACCCUUGUUGCCGAGUUAUGUAAAGCAAGUAUGUAAGUAAACGUGAGCUGCAAAGUCUAGCGCAGCUCAAGCGCGGCCGGUCAGAUCUGCGCCAUCAAUACUUCACUGUUUACAAUCCUCCGUAGGCCUAAAGGACAUGCAGUGGCACUUUUUCUGCUUUUAAUUAUCAGGAAGCAACUGGAACAGCAUCGUCUCUGACACCAGCGAGGGUUGCGGAGACUCGCGCUGCUCUCAGACACCCAUCACUGGGUCGCUCACCCUGACCAGUCCCACGGCACCGAUUUCUUGGGACAGGUACCGCAGCGCUGAUUUCUUGGGCUCUGCCACGCGGCCCAUCUGGCAUCGAGGCUGCAGGGCAGCAGCUUGUUCUGGUUGCAGAGCACCCAGCGCAGCGACAGCGAGCCCCGUGUCACUGCCAAGAGGAGAGGAGCGAUCGAGUAAAGCAGGCAGCCACAAGCACCAUCCAGUGGUGGUGAUUCAGCAACUGCUCCCUCUGUGAUCCUGUCCAGCCCAGCUCCCAGCAUCGGCUGGGUAGACGAGCGCCUGGUUC